AACGCAAGUUGCGGGUUUCUUUCGAAAACCAUGUUUGCCUGAGGGUUGUUUCACACAAAUUGAGGCGUGUCAUUUUCCAUAAAAAAGGGAUGACUCCCUUUAAAUAAUUUUGAAUUUCCCCUCCCGAUCUUUUGUGACUUGAAGAAAAGUUAAUUUUUUUUCAAGAAACGAAAUCUCUCCAUUUUUUUAUUUUAACUUGAAAACAAAGAAAAGGAGCUCUUUGAGUACCUUCCAAAAAAAAAAAAUUAAUUAAUAACGCCACCUCAGAUAAAGCAAGACUACCCGCUGAACUUAA
rnacentral:misc_RNA from 1 species